rnacentral:lncRNA from 1 species
GGAGCUCGGGGCCGACUUGGACAGCAUGGUCAGAAACAGAAAAGAAAACCAUACAAUCUAAAAAUAUAUUUCUUAAAAGAACAAGUACGAUUGGCCAACAGAUGAAUGAAAGAUGCUCAACAUGGGCUGAAGAGAGGGCUCAGAGGUUAAGAGGGCUCGUGCUGUGUCAGAGGGCCCACAUUCAGCUCCGGGAACCCUUGGGACAUGGUGACAGAGCUGUACUCCGGCCCUUGCGUAGCAAUAGAGAUCCAGCAGAGCAAUCCUACGAAGACGUUCCGAGAAUUCUGUGGACCUUCCGAUCCUGAAAUCGCCCGGCAUUUACGACCUGAGACCCUCAGGGCAAAUUUUGGUAAAACCAAGGUUCAAAAUGCUGUUCA